rnacentral:rRNA from 1 species
CCCUUCGAUGUUCUGGGCCGCACGCGUGUUACACUGAUAAAUUCAACGAGUCUAGAACCUGUUCUGAGAAGAAUGGGGAAUCUUGUGAAAUUUUAUCGUGAUAGGGAUAGAUGAUUGCAAUUAUUCAUCUUAAACGAGGAAUGCCUAGUAAGGGCAGUUCAUCAAACUGUCCUGAUUACGUCCCUGCCCUUUGUACACACCGCCCGUCGCACCUACCGAUUGGAUGGUCCGGUGAAGCCUCGGGAUUGUGGUUCUUGCCGCUUUAUUGUGGCGUGACCGCGAGAACUUGUCUAAACCUUAUCAUCUAGAGGAAGGUGAAGUCGUAACA